rnacentral:tRNA from 1 species
UGGGGUGUGGCUCAGCGGUAGAGCGCUCGCCUAGCAUGUGCGAGACCCUGGGUUCGAUGCUCAACACCACAU